CCAUGUGUGUCACUAGAGCUGGUGCAAGCCCAUGGUCAUGGUGAGGCACUGAUUCCACUGGAACUAAUCUGAUACCUGCACCGCUCUUGAACUGCGGAGUGUUCCCACUGCAAACUACAGAUUAGGAUUUCCCACUCCUUGUGAGUAAAAAUGAACAAGAAAUACCACAGGACCUUCAUUCCCUGUUUCGCCAUUUAUGAGAUUAAUAAAGCAAUUAACUCACAUAGUGUAAACGAAUCAUUUGAGGUGAUGACUGCAUUUUAGGCAAAUGAUGACUUUCUUGGUUCCUUUGGUUUGCAAGUAAAAGUUACACACAUUGAGAAUACACUCUGAAACAGGUUUCCUAAAUGCUUUAUUUUCUGGAUACGCCAAUGUUGACCUACUAUACAUCUUAAAUGGCUUUAAAAUAUCACCUUAAAAUAAACAAAACUUCCAGCUACUAACUUAGCUCUGAAUGGGCUAUGAAAGACUUCAAAGGUAUGAGAAAAAUUAUUAUUUUGCUUUAAAAAAUGUAAUGUCUAAGCGUGUCUGCAAUGUUCUAAAGCUUCAAAACAUGUACGUAAGCCUUGUUUAUCUGGAAAUCAUUUCUUUCUGCUUAUAUCAUUUAUAAAUAGAAAAUGUUCUGUAACAAAAUAGUUCCACAUACAUAAUGCUUUUUGUGUCAGACUACUUACUGGUCUAUAUUUACCAACAUUUAUCACAUUUUACAAAAUGAAGUAGAAGGAAAAAAAAGACAACGACUUUAUGGCCCUGGAAUUCCAGUAAUGGUGACCAACGUGUUUUAAAUUCCAGUAAAGGUUAUGGUUACAUUUC